rnacentral:rRNA from 1 species
UAACACAUGCAAGUCGAGGGGCAUCAGGAAUAAAGCUUGCUUUCUUUGCUGGCGACCGGCGCACGGGUGAGUAACACGUAUCCAACCUGCCCUUUACUCGGGGAUAGCCUUUCGAAAGAAAGAUUAAUACCCGAUAGCAUAAUGAUUCCGCAUGGUUUCAUUAUUAAAGGAUUCCGGUAAAGGAUGGGGAUGCGUUCCAUUAGGUUGUUGGUGAGGUAACGGCCCACCAAGCCUUCGAUGGAUAGGGGUUCUGAGAGGAAGGUCCCCCACAUUGGAACUGAGACACGGUCCAAACUCCUACGGGAGGCAGCAGUGAGGAAUAUUGGUCAAUGGGCGCUAGCCUGAACCAGCCAAGUAGCGUGAAGGAUGAAGGCUCUAUGGGUCGUAAACUUCUUUUAUAUAAGAAUAAAGUGCAGUAUGUAUACUGUUUUGUAUGUAUUAUAUGAAUAAGGAUCGGCUAACUCCGUGCCAGCAGCCGCGGUAAUACGGAGGAUCCGAGCGUUAUCCGGAUUUAUUGGGUUUAAAGGGAGCGUAGGUGGACUGGUAAGUCAGUUGUGAAAGUUUGCGGCUCAACCGUAAAAUUGCAGUUGAUACUGUCAGUCUUGAGUACAGUAGAGGUGGGCGGAAUUCGUGGUGUAGCGGUGAAAUGCUUAGAUAUCACGAAGAACUCCGAUUGCGAAGGCAGCUCACUGGACUGCAACUGACACUGAUGCUCGAAAGUGUGGGUAUCAAACAGGAUUAGAUACCCUGGUAGUCCACACAGUAAACGAUGAAUACUCGCUGUUUGCGAUAUACAGUAAGCGGCCAAGCGAAAGCAUUAAGUAUUCCACCUGGGGAGUACGCCGGCAACGGUGAAACUCAAAGGAAUUGACGGGGGCCCGCACAAGCGGAGGAACAUGUGGUUUAAUUCGAUGAUACGCGAGGAACCUUACCCGGGCUUAAAUUGCAGUGGAAUGAUGUGGAAACAUGUCAGUGAGCAAUCACCGCUGUGAAGGUGCUGCAUGGUUGUCGUCAGCUCGUGCCGUGAGGUGUCGGCUUAAGUGCCAUAACGAGCGCAACCCUUAUCUUCAGUUACUAACAGGUUAUGCUGAGGACUCUGGAGAGACUGCCGUCGUAAGAUGUGAGGAAGGUGGGGAUGACGUCAAAUCAGCACGGCCCUUACGUCCGGGGCUACACACGUGUUACAAUGGGGGGUACAGAAGGCAGCUACCUGGUGACAGGAUGCUAAUCCCAAAAGCCUCUCUCAGUUCGGAUCGAAGUCUGCAACCCGACUUCGUGAAGCUGGAUUCGCUAGUAAUCGCGCAUCAGCCACGGCGCGGUGAAUACGUUCCCGGGCCUUGUACACACCGCCCGUCAAGCCAUGGGAGCCGGGGGUACCUGAAGUACGUAACCGCAAGGAUCGUCCUAGGGUAAAACUGGUGACUGGGGCUAAGUCAUAA